rnacentral:lncRNA from 1 species
UGGGGCUCUACCGUAUGAAUCAUAGAGCUGUCUAAGAUUUGGGUUUUGAAAGGCUCGCCGAAGAAGGGGCACACACGGACGUUCCAGCAAGCUUUAUUGGGGCGGCAGUCUGCAGCCUGCGGGGCUGACUCACAGAAUGGAGACCAGCAGCUUCAUGGGCUCAGCUGGAAGCUUAUGCAGGUGUCUUGCAGGAGACAUCUGGAAUUAAUGGACCCAUCAUUAUCCUGAGAGUUCUUUGUCUUCUUCAUAUUCAUGUUGACGUCGAACCACAAGCCAAGUAAAGAAUGAUAGUUUGAAGACAUCUGGAGUCACAUGCCUCUUGGGCUGCAGAAAUAAUGGAACCACUUAUGAGAUCUAUUGCAUCCUGGAUGGAGGAGACAUGUACAAGGUUCAGGUCAGCUGUGAGGCCUCAGUGGCCUUUGAGGACUGGCAUUUGAAGAUUUUCAAAUAAAAAAAGAACAUACAAAACAUCAUGAGGUGCCCUUAGACUGUAGCAGCUGUUUCUCUCUUUACAGUAAAGACAAGAGAGCAGACAAAGCAGUCUUUGCAGAAAGGACCAAAACAUUUUAUCAGAUCUUGAAUGUCCCUCAAAGGCUGAUAAGUUAAAGGCUUGGACACCUGCCUGUGCGCGAGAGAGGUGGUGGAAACUUCAGAACUGGCACUCAGUGGGAGAGAGCCACUCAGAUGCUGCUAUGUGAAAGAGCCAUACUUGUUGCUUGCUGCUUGAACAUCUACUUUUUCUCCUCCAGUGUGUGAUAAACUUGGGAGAUCAUACACUGCAGUCGUGCCACUGGGGAAAAGACAGAGGAAAGGGGAAAGGGACAAGGAGGAAGAGAAGAAAAGGAGGAGGAAGAGAAGAAAAGGAGGAGAAAGAGCAGGAGGGAAAGAAGGCCCUGCCCCAUCGCUAAUGGAUGGUCCUAAGAGCCACACACACGACACCAUGAAGUCCUCACUGGCCACUGGAUGAAGGAAGACUGGCAGAGAAAGAGUUAGCACAACUGCUUGAUUGUUAGCCAGGAGAAAGCUGCCUCUUAUCUGUUCACUGGACUCUGAAAGAACAUAGGGCAAAGAAGACAGAGGGGCUGGAGGAAGAAGAAUCUUCAUUUAAAUCCGGGCUCCGUUCUUGAGAAGCUGAGUAUCUCUGAGGAAGUUUCUUGUUAAGAUGCAGAAUGCUCAGUAGCGGCUGCAUUCCUGAUACCUUCAUCCUGAAUUGAACAAGACUUCCAGUCUAGGAUAAUCUUUCUGCUUGUGACAAUAGAAGCAGGAUCUUCAAAAAACACCCAGGCUUUGCAUCAUCACUGGGGAAGGGGCACAAAAGGUUUUUGAGACAAGUUCUCAGUAUGCAGUUCGGGCUGGCCUCAAACCACAGCGAUCCUCUGGCUCAGCCUCCCAAGUGCUGGAAUUACGGGUGUGUGCGCCAUAUCCAGCUUGUCCUUUUAUCCAGUCCACUAGGCUUCCCAUCGCACAGCCCAACUAACCCUCCAAGAGAAAAC